GAGCAGCGGCAGCCGGCGAUCCGGCUGUGAAGAUCUUCGGGCGCGGCCUCGCCUCCCUGGCCCGGAGCCCGCAUCAGCACCGCGGACUGCACAGCGGCCGUCGCCCGGACCCAGGUGCCAGCCGGCCCACCAGCCCACCGGGGCCCGGGCCCCCGGCUUCCGCAUCAGCACCGCGGACAGCGCCCCGGGCCCCAUCUCGCCGCUGCCAACCCACCUGAUUCCCGAGUCAGCACUGCGGACAGGCACCCUCGACCGGCCCCGCAGCAGACUCAGAGCGGUCAGCGCCCCCGGAAUAUGGCCACUGAGGUCCACAACCUGCAGGAGCUCCGGCGAAGUGCCUCACUAGCCACCAAGGUCUUCAUCCAGAGAGACUACAGCGAUGGGACCAUCUGUCAGUUCCAGACCAAAUUCCCCCCAGAGCUGGACAGCCGGAUUGAGCGGCAGCUCUUCGAGGAGACUGUGAAGACCCUCAACAGCUUCUACGCAGAGGCCGAGAAGAUUGGGGGCAGCUCCUACCUUGAGGGGUGUCUGGCCUGUGCCACGGCCUACUUCAUCUUCCUCUGCAUGGAGACCCACUACGAGAAGGUUCUCAAGAAGAUCUCCCGCUACAUCCAGGAGCAGAAUGAGAAGAUCUUUGCUCCUCGAGGCCUCCUUCUUACGGACCCUGUGGAGCGUGGGAUGAGGGUUGUAUCCUUCCUGGCUGGUCUGUGCAAGGGCACACAGCUGCCGACCAGUGGGGUCCCCGGGGAGGCAGCCAGGAAAUGGGGUCACCCUAGGGGCCUCUGAUCAGGGAUUUCCUAGGAUUUCCCACAUCCCUGGUCACCAGCAAGUUACUGGUGCUGUUUGUGUAUUUCAGGGUCUGCUUGUACUGAGCUGCACUUAAGCUGUUCUCAGUGCGCGCCGGAUCUCAACGCAAGUGCUUUGAAACCAUGAAUUCGUGUAGAUCUCAUAACCCCCCAUCAGGCCUUGUGCUUGGUGCCUCUCAUUCUCACAGCAACCCCAAGAUUCCACUAUUAUCCUCACUGACAGACGUGAUAAGUGAUGGGUUAAGUGACUGGUCCAAGGGCAUAUAGCUCAAGUGUGGGCAAGUUGACAUUUGAACUCAGGACACCAGAGUCCUCACACUUUCUGUGCAGUGACACCAGCUCCUGGGCACAUCCGAGUCCUGGGAUAUGGCCAUUAGACCCACUGAAGUGUAAGCUCCUGAUCCUGGCUGUGCGCCCAGUGCAGUGUCCGGCCCUACAAGUCUCCGGAACUGUGAACUGUGGUUCUCCCCUCCUGAGUUGACUGUGUACAUUCUAGCAAAAGAGAAGCUGGAGUUCUAGAAGAGCAGAGCCAACCAUCCAGGGCCUUCCGUGCCCCUCCCCCAGCUCCCCAUGACAAGGCAUUGGGACCACGGACCCACGUAUUCAGCUGCCCAGGCUCUAGGCUCUUCAGGGCUGUGUAAGCGAGGCUUCCUUGGAUGUUCAAAGGCACCAGCAACCUGCAGGGGAGAAGCAAGCUCCCUUCUUGAAAGGAAAGAGGGGCGUCCAGCCAAGGAGGCCCUGGCUGCUGAGGCCCAGGCAGGCCAGUGAGAACGAAGGAGCUCUGUUCUGGUGCCUGGGAGACAGACAGAAGGAAGCUGCCUGCCUCAGCUGGCAGGAGGUGCUAGAGGUGGCUAUGAAAGACUAGCCGCUGCGGGUAGCUUUCUGGAACCAAAGAGGGGCCGGAUUUUCUUUUGGACACUGGAGCAGCAUGUGGGAAGGAGGCAUCUCCCCAGAGAGCUAGAGUGAGCGGCCUAGCCCUUGAGCCCAAGUGGGUCCUGGUCCAAGGAUCCCCCUGGAGAGCUGCAGCCUAGUGGGCUCCACCACAGCCCCUGACCCUGGACCCGGCCCGUGCCCACCCUGGCCCACUGUGUGGCUGGGCCUUGUGCCUGAGCUGUGCCUGUCCCGUGGGUUGGCUGGGCACAAGCGAUGUGGUCGCCUUUUGUUUUAUUAUUUCUUUUUCCAAUAAAAGGACUUU